rnacentral:rRNA from 1 species
GGGGAGGCGGUCUGCUUACAUGCAAGUCGAACGGUCUCUUCGGAGAUAGUGGCGGACGGGUGAGUAAUGCGUGAGAACCUGCCCCAAGGACGGGGACAACAGAAGGAAACUUCUGCUAAUCCCGGAUGAGCCGAAAGGUAAAAGAUUUAUCGCCUUGGGAUGAGCUCGCGUCUGAUUAGCUAGUUGGUGGGAUAAAAGCCUACCAAGGCAACGAUCAGUAGCUGGUCUGAGAGGAUGAUCAGCCACACUGGGACUGAGACACGGCCCAGACUCCUACGGGAGGCAGCAGUGGGGAAUUUUCCGCAAUGGGCGAAAGCCUGACGGAGCAAGACCGCGUGGGGGAGGAAAGCCUUUGGGUUGUAAACCCCUUUUCUCAGGGAAGAAGAAAGUGACGGUACCUGAGGAAUCAGCCUCGGCUAACUCCGUGCCAGCAGCCGCGGUAAUACGGAGGAGGCAAGCGUUAUCCGGAAUGAUUGGGCGUAAAGCGUCCGCAGGUGGCUAAUCAAGUCUGCUGUUAAAUCCAGUAGCUUAACUACUGAGGGGCAGUGGAAACUGAUGAGCUAGAGUGCGGUAGGGGCAGAGGGAAUUCCUGGUGUAGCGGUGAAAUGCGUAGAGAUCAGGAAGAACACCGGUGGCGAAAGCGCUCUGCUGGACCGCAACUGACACUCAGGGACGAAAGCUAGGGGAGCGAAUGGGAUUAGAUACCCCAGUAGUCCUAGCUGUAAACGAUGGAGACUAGGUGUUGCCUGUAUCGACCCGGGCAGUGCCGUAGCUAACGCGUUAAGUCUCCCGCCUGGGGAGUACGCACGCAAGUGUGAAACUCAAAGGAAUUGACGGGGGCCCGCACAAGCGGUGGAGUAUGUGGUUUAAUUCGAUGCAACGCGAAGAACCUUACCAGGGCUUGACAUGUCCGGAAGCUUGGGGAAACCUGAGUGUGCCUUCGGGAGCCGGAACACAGGUGGUGCAUGGCUGUCGUCAGCUCGUGUCGUGAGAUGUUGGGUUAAGUCCCGCAACGAGCGCAACCCUCGUCCUUAGUUGCCAUCAUUAAGUUGGGCACUUUAGGGAGACUGCCGGUGACAAACCGGAGGAAGGUGGGGAUGACGUCAAGUCAUCAUGCCCCUUACGUCCUGGGCGACACACGUACUACAAUGGGAAGGACAAAGGGCAGCCAACUAGCGAUAGUGAGCUAAUCCCAGAAACCUUUCCUCAGUUCAGAUUGCAGGCUGCAACUCGCCUGCAUGAAGGAGGAAUCGCUAGUAAUCGCAGGUCAGCAUACUGCGGUGAAUCCGUUCCCGGGCCUUGUACACACCGCCCGUCACACCAUGGAAGUUAACCAUGCCCGAAGUCAUUACUCUAACCCGUAAGGGAGGGGAAUGCCGAAGGCAGGGUUGAUGACUGGGGUGAAGUCGUAACAAGGUAGCCGUACCGGAAGGUGUGGCUGGAUCACCUCCUUUUCAGGGAGACCUAACUUCAGAUUAGAGUUCAGCUCAAGUGAGUUGAGAAAACACCUCUUAUUAUUAACUGAAGUCAUCCCAGGUCGAGCGAAGCAAUGCCAGACAAAGGCUUUCAAACUACGAUAAGGUUCGUAUACAAUAAGAUAUGCACGGAAGAAUUCAGCAAGAGAUGAAAAUCAAACUGCUGGAUCACAAUCCAGUCAGAACAUUGACAACUGCAUAGAGACAAAAGUCAGGUCAGUCUGAAGAAAACAGACAAGGUCAAGCUAGAAAGGGCUGACGGUGAAUACCUAGGCACCCUUAAGGCCAAGACAGUUUGUAGGAAAUACUUACAAUAAAUGGAAAAGA